rnacentral:rRNA from 1 species
GGGCAUCCCGAUGCAGCCAAAGGAGCAAUCCGCUGGAAGAUGGGCUCGCGGCCGAUUAGCUAGUUGGUGGGGCAACGGCCCACCAAGGCGACGAUCGGUAGCCGGACUGAGAGGUUGAUCGGCCACAUUGGGACUGAGACCCGGCCCAGACUCCUACGGGAGGCAGCAGUGGGGGAUAUUGCACAAUGGAGGAAACUCUGAUGCAGCGACGCCGCGUGAGGGAAGACGGUCUUCGGAUUGUAAACCUCUGUCUUUGGGGAAGAAAAUGACGGUACCCAAAGAGGAAGCUCCGGCUAACUACGUGCCAGCAGCCGCGGUAAUACGUAGGGAGCGAGCGUUGUCCGGAAUUACUGGGUGUAAAGGGAGCGUAGGCGGGCGAGAAAGUUGAAUGUUAAAUCUACCGGCUUAACUGGUAGCUGCGUUCAAAACUUCUUGUCUUGAGUGAAGUAGAGGCAGGCGGAAUUCCUAGUGUAGCGGUGAAAUGCGUAGAUAUUAGGAGGAACACCAGUGGCGAAGGCGGCCUGCUGGGCUUUAACUGACGCUGAGGCUCGAAAGCGUGGGGAGCAAACAGGAUUAGAUACCCUGGUAGUCCACGCUGUAAACGAUGAUUACUAGGUGUGGGGGGACUGACCCCUUCCGUGCCGCAG